rnacentral:misc_RNA from 1 species
UCCGUUUUGUCACCGGCAGUCUCCCUAGAGUUCCCGGCUUGACCCGCUGGCAACUAGGGACAAGGGUUGCGCUCGUUGCGGGACUUAACCCAACAUCUCACGACACGAGCUGACGACAGCCAUGCACCACCUGUGCACUGGCCCCGAAGGGCUGCCGUAUUUCUACGACAUUCCAGUGCAUGUCAAGGCCAGGUAAGGUUCUUCGCGUUGCAUCGAAUUGAGCCACAUACUCCACCGCUUGUGCAGGCCCCCGUCAAUUUCUUUGAGUUUUAAUCUUGCGACCGUACUUCCCAGGCGGCACGUUUAACGCGUUGGCUACGCCACAAAAGGGGUCGACUCCUUUUACAGCAAACGUGCACCGUUUACAGCUAGGACUAC